rnacentral:rRNA from 1 species
UACGAAGGGGGCUAGCGUUGUUCGGAAUUACUGGGCGUAAAGCGCGCGCAGGCGGUCCUUCAAGUCAGAGGUGAAAGCCCAGAGCUCAACUCUGGAAUGGCCUUUGAGACUAGAGGACUUGGGUACGGGAGAGGUGAGUGGAAUUCCGAGUGUAGAGGUGAAAUUCGUAGAUAUUCGGAAGAACACCAGUGGCGAAGGCGGCUCACUGGACCACAACUGACGCUGAGGCGCGAAAGCUAGGGGAGCAAACAGG